CACACACAUCACAUCAUUUUUUCUUUCCUUCUCUUAGGCUAGUUCCCUCACAUGGGUUUCUUUCUCCCUCUCUCACACACAUGCCUCAUUUCUCUCACUUCCUUUCUUUUCUUGUUUUUUUUUCUAAUCGGUGCUUCUUCACCCCCAUUAUUUUCCGUCUCCCUCACGUCUCUCUCUAUACCCACCCACUCAACCUUCCUUCAUCCCUCUCUCUCUUUCCUAUUCUUUCUCUUUUUCCUCGACUUCUCCAUUUCCCAUCCCUUCAUCUUCUUCUCUUCUGAAAAUCUACCAAUCAAAACACUGCAAACAUCUCCCUUUAGUCUACAAAUCAAAACCAGCCAGGUUUUAUCCCUUCCUUUAUCUCUCAACUGCACAUCUCCCUCUAUCCCACUAACGCACUUCUCCGUUUCCACGCGCAGAGCUUCUAGAUCUGCUAAGGACACCAAGCCAAGCUUAGUUCUGCAUAAUGGGUUCCACCACUGUUCAUUACGUACCCCAACUAGUUCUCGAGCUCUCGACUUAGAUUAACAAUUCGUUUUCCCUCCUAAACGAAUUGUUUUCAUUUCCCCAAAAACUCAGAGGGAAUGGAAGCCACGAAAGCCACCAAGGGCGCUGACGGAAGAAAAGGUGGAGAGAGGAAGAAGUCGGUGUCCAAGUCAGUUAAAGCCGGCCUCCAAUUCCCCGUCAGCCAUAUCACUCGUUUCCUCGAAAGGGGACGCUACGUCCAAUAUACCAAUACCAGCGCUCCCAUUUACCUCACCACCGAGGGGUGGAUGGAUAGAAAGCGAAGAGAAACAAGAUCGAGAUCGAGUUCAAAAAGUUCAAAAAAAUUGUGGAGGUGGAGUUUAAGGACGACACUAGGAGCAACAAAUGACAAUGAGGGGGAGUAGGAAUUCAGUUUUCCCUUUUGUGAUUCAAUUAUGUAUUCAAUUCAUGUUUUACUAAUGUGAACAAACAUUGGCAUCAUGUUUUCCUUAUGUAAACUUUAAUUCGAACUGACCAUUUGACUAUGGGCAUUGGCUUUGAGGUG